rnacentral:rRNA from 1 species
UUAUGGCUCAGAACGAACGCUGGCGGCAGGUCUUGGGCAUGCAAGUCGAACGGAUGACAGAGAGCUUGCUCUCUGAAGUCAGUGGCGCACGAGUGAGUAACGCGUGGGAAACUGCCCUUCACUGGGGAAUAACGUUUGGAAACGAACGCUAAUACCGCAUACGCCCGCAAGGGGAAAGAUUUAUCGGUGAUGGAUGUGCCCGCGUUGGAUUAGCUAGUUGGUGGGGUAAUAGCCUACCAAGGCGAUGAUCCAUAGCUGGUCUGAGAGGACGAUCAGCCACGCUGGAACUGAGACACGGUCCAGACUCCUACGGGAGGCAGCAGCUAAGAAUAUUGGGCAAUGGAGGAAACUCUGACCCAGCCCAUGCCGCGUGAAUGAAGAAGGCCUUCGGGUUGUAAAGUUCUUUUAGUCAUGAAGAUGAUGACAGUAGUGACAGAAAAAGCACCGGCUAACUUCGUGCCAGCAGCCGC